CCUACGGGUGGCAGCAGUAGGGAAUAUUGCUCAAUGGGGGCAACCCUGAAGCAGCUACGCCGCGUGUAGGAUGACGGCCCUCGGAUUGUAAACCCCUUUUGUUAGAGAAGAUAAUGACGGUACCUAUCGAAUAAGCACCGGCUAACUCCGUGCCAGCAGCCGCGGUAAUACGGAGGGUGCAAGCGUUACUCGGAAUCACUGGGCGUAAAGGGCGCGUAGGUGGGAUAGCAAGACAGAUGUGAAAUCCUCUGGCUUAACCAUAGAACUGCAUUUGAAACUGUUAUUCUAGAGUGUGGGAGAGGUAGGUGGAAUUCUUGGUGUAGGGGUGAAAUGCGUAGAGAUCAAGAAGAAUACUGAUUGCGAAGGCAGCCUGCUAGAACACAACUGACGCUGAUGCGCGAAAGCGUGGGGAGCAAACAGGAUUAGAUACCCGAGUAGUC
rnacentral:rRNA from 1 species